GGGGAUAUAGCUCAAUUGGUACAGUGCUUGCCUAGUAUGCAUAAGGCCCUGGGUUCAAUCCCCAGCACCA
rnacentral:tRNA from 1 species